AACGCUGGCGGCGUGCCUAAUACAUGCAAGUCGAGCGAAUCUGAGGGAGCUUGCUCCCAAAGAUUAGCGGCGGACGGGUGAGUAACACGUGGGUAACCUGCCUGUAAGAUUGGGAUAACUCCGGGAAACCGGAGCUAAUACCGGAUAACAUCUCGAACCGCAUGGUUCGAGAUUGAAAGAUGGUUUCGGCUAUCACUUACAGAUGGACCCGCGGCGCAUUAGCUAGUUGGUGAGGUAACGGCUCACCAAGGCAACGAUGCGUAGCCGACCUGAGAGGGUGAUCGGCCACACUGGGACUGAGACACGGCCCAGACUCCUACGGGAGGCAGCAGUAGGGAAUCUUCCGCAAUGGACGAAAGUCUGACGGAGCAACGCCGCGUGAGCGAAGAAGGCCUUCGGGUCGUAAAGCUCUGUUGUUAGGGAAGAAUAAGUACGAGAGUAACUGCUCGUACCUUGACGGUACCUAACCAGAAAGCCACGGCUAACUACGUGCCAGCAGCCGCGGUAAUACGUAGGUGGCAAGCGUUGUCCGGAAUUAUUGGGCGUAAAGCGCGCGCAGGCGGUUUCUUAAGUCUGAUGUGAAAGCCCACGGCUCAACCGUGGAGGGUCAUUGGAAACUGGGGAACUUGAGUGCAGAAGAGGAGAGUGGAAUUCCACGUGUAGCGGUGAAAUGCGUAGAGAUGUGGAGGAACACCAGUGGCGAAGGCGACUCUCUGGUCUGUAACUGACGCUGAGGCGCGAAAGCGUGGGGAGCGAACAGGAUUAGAUACCCUGGUAGUCCACGCCGUAAACGAUGAGUGCUAAGUGUUAGAGGGUUUCCGCCCUUUAGUGCUGCAGCAAACGCAUUAAGCACUCCGCCUGGGGAGUACGGUCGCAAGACUGAAACUCAAAGGAAUUGACGGGGGCCCGCACAAGCGG
rnacentral:rRNA from 1 species